CCUACGGGCGGCAGCAGUGGGGAAUAUUGGACAAUGGGGGGAACCCUGAUCCAGCGACGCCGCGUGAGUGAAGAAGUAUUUCGGUAUGUAAAGCUCUAUCAGCAGGGAAGAAAGAAAUGACGGUACCUGACUAAGCCGCCCCGGCUAACUACGCGCCAGCAGCCGCGGUAAUACGUAGGGGGCAAGCGUUAUCCGGAUUUACUGGGUGUAAAGGGGGCGUAGACGGCGAUGCAAGUCUGAAGUGAAAGGCGGGGGCCCAACCCCGGGACUGCUUUGGAAACUGUAUGGCUGGAGUGCAGGAGAGGUAAGUGGAAUUCCUAGUGUAGCGGUGAAAUGCGUAGAUAUUAGGAGGAACACCAGUGGCGAAGGCGGCUUACUGGACUGUAACUGACGUUGAGGCUCGAAAGCGUGGGGAGCAAACAGGAUUAGAUACCCUAGUAGUC
rnacentral:rRNA from 1 species